GAUGAACGCUGGCGGCGUGCCUAAUACAUGCAAGUCGAGCGAACAGACGAGGAGCUUGCUCCUCUGACGUUAGCGGCGGACGGGUGAGUAACACGUGGAUAACCUACCUAUAAGACUGGGAUAACUUCGGGAAACCGGAGCUAAUACCGGAUAAUAUAUUGAACCGCAUGGUUCAAUAGUGAAAGACGGUUUUGCUGUCACUUAUAGAUGGAUCCGCGCCGCAUUAGCUAGUUGGUAAGGUAACGGCUUACCAAGGCAACGAUGCGUAGCCGACCUGAGAGGGUGAUCGGCCACACUGGAACUGAGACACGGUCCAGACUCCUACGGGAGGCAGCAGUAGGGAAUCUUCCGCAAUGGGCGAAAGCCUGACGGAGCAACGCCGCGUGAAUGAUGAAGGUCUUCGGAUCGAAAAACUCUGUUAUUAGGGAAGAACAAAUGUGUAAGUAACUAUGCACGUCUUGACGGUACCUAAUCAGAAAGCCACGGCUAACUACGUG
rnacentral:rRNA from 1 species